rnacentral:lncRNA from 1 species
UUUCUUUUUGUAGGGACAGGAUCUUGCUAUGUUGCCUAAACUGGUUUCAAACUCCUGGCCUCAUGCAAUCCUCCUGCCUCAGCCUCCCAAGCUGCUGGGGUUCCAGGCAUGAGCCACUGUGCCUGGCCAAAGCAUGGAUAUUCUUGUUUAAUUCUUACAACAAUCCUAUGAGGUGCUGAGCUGUGGAUGGGGUAUGACUGUGAAGCCGGGCCCGGUGCCUGGCCUCAUGAAGAUUAUAUUUUGGUGAAGGACACAAGACAUAAAGCCAAAUGAUCAGAAGAAUAAGGAAGAUGGCUGUAUACAUGGUCCAUGUUAUACAUGAGAUAAGUAGGACAUGUACUAAUGAAUACAGGACAUGGGGCUGGGUUGAUUUACAUGAAGCUUUGAGGGGAAUUUUCCUAGAAGAGAUUAUACAUAAGCGGAUAAGAUAGAAAAUACAUACUACAUGAUAAGAUAGAAAGAUUUCCAGGAAGAGGAAACUGAGUGCAAAGGCCCUAGAGAGAUGGGGGUUGAACCUGGCGUAGCCUCAGAAGGUGUGGCGCCCUGGUCUGUAAUGAAGAGUGAGAGGAGGGGAGUUUGAUAUGCAGAAGUCAAAUCAUAAAGGUAUUUAGAUUUAGGAGGUUGGUUUUACUUUCAGAGCAACGGAAAGCCAUUGGAGGGUUGAAGAAGGGCAAUAAUGGCAUCAGCUUUGCAUUUUAAGGUGAUCGGGCUGGCUGCUCUGUGGAGAAUGGAUUGGUAUGGGCACCAGGAGAAGCAGGGAGUGGAUUUGUCCCAGGAGGACGGCUCUCAUACAGAGCAUUCUUUAAGUGGCUUUCAGGAUGUGCGCCUGCAGGGAGUACACAGUGUAACUGGAGAAGCGCCGGCUGGGUUCCACUACCAGUGAGCGGCAAGAACUUUGGCAUGUCUUCUAAGGUUCCUGGUUCUCAAGCCUCACCUGGAUGAAAUAAUCACAGCUCCCUUAUAGGAUAGCUGUGAUGAUUUAAUCAGAUGAUGUGUGUGACUUGUCCAGCACAUAGUGAUCACUCAUUGUGUUAGAGGUUAGCUCUCUUUAACUGUUAUGAUGUCUCUGGGGCAUCUGUGAGAAGGGAGCUCCUGGGAGGGUGAGGACAAGGUGAUUUAUAGGAAGGAGCAACUUCGAGUCAUGUUCUCCCAUUAAUCUCAUCAACUGGUAGCUCCAAAACAUAGCUGUCAACAGGCAUCAAUUAUACCCCAUGUAAUUGCACACAUGAUUGUAUUUAAUUCUCACAAUAGUCUUGCAAUGCAGACAUUACUGUAUUAUAUAAUUAUCCCCUUUUUUGAUAUCAGAAAAUUGUAGUCCACAGAGGUUAGGUAAUUUGCUCAAGGUCACCCAGUUAGUGGCAGAGCCAAAAUUCAGUCCAGAUCUGUUGGAAUCCAAACCCCAUGCUCUCUCCACCAUAACGGCUCAUCCAACAGUUCGACAGCUGCUUUCCAAACACAUCUCGGGUUCUUGGGAUUCUACAACACCUGUGUCUCUCAACACAGGGUAUCCUGUCUAUGGAAGUCCCCAGGUGACAUGAGGAAGAAGGAAAUCUGCCCUCUCCAAGCCUGAUAAAAAAGGACAAAAGAGACCGGUUCCAUCUGGUGUUCUAUAAAGCACAGCUUUGCCAGGUUCCAGAACACCAGGCAAUCAUAUCCUCUGUGGUAUUGGUUUUGCAGCCC